AUACGGAGGGUGCAAGCGUUAAUCGGGAUUACUGGGCGUAAAGCGCGCGUAGGUGGUUAUGUAAGUCGGAUGUGAAAGCCCCGGGCUUAACCUGGGAAUUGCAUUCGAAACUGCAUGACUAGAGUCUGAUAGAGGGAAGUGGAAUUUCCGGUGUAGCGGUGAAAUUCGUAGAUAUUGGGAAGAACACCGGUGGCGAAGGCGGCCUCCUGGACCAAUACUGACACUGAGGUGCGAAAGCGUGGGGAGCAAACAGGAUUAGAAACCCCGGUAGUCC
rnacentral:rRNA from 1 species